UCCGUAGGGCGCAAGCGUUGUCCGGAAUUAUUGGGCGUAAAGAGCUCGUAGGCGGUUUGUCGCGUCUGCUGUGAAAUCCCGAGGCUCAACCUCGGGCUUGCAGUGGGUACGGGCAGACUAGAGUGCGGUAGGGGAGACUGGAAUUCCUGGUGUAGCGGUGGAAUGCGCAGAUAUCAGGAGGAACACCGGUGGCGAAGGCGGGUCUCUGGGCAGUAACUGACGCUGAGGAGCGAAAGCGUGGGGAGCGAUCAGG
rnacentral:rRNA from 1 species